GGGUCAAUAGGUUGGUCGUGCCACCGGUACGUACUGGUCUCACUGAUUCCUCCUUCCUGAAGAACCGUAAUGCCAUUAAUUUGGUGUUGCGGGGAAACAGGACUGUUACUUUGAAAAAAUUAGAGUGUUUAAAGCAAGCUAACGCUUGAAUACAUUAGCAUAGAAUAAUGAAAUAGGACGAUCGAUCCUAUUUUGUUGGUUUCUAGGAUUGACGUA
rnacentral:rRNA from 1 species